AUGCUCUGUAAGGUGACCUUGGGUGUCUUGAAAGGCGCCUCUAAAUUAAAUGAAGACAUUGUGUAGUGAAACUGGAAGAAAGAACUUGUUAAAGUACUUAAAGCGGACUCUUAUCGGCCUGAACUGGUCGCUGGUGAGGACCCCCAGAAGGGCAAAAACAAUCUGCUCGCCCAUCGGUAAUUUUCCAUCAACUUGGUCAAAGGCGUGGCCUACAGAGGGGGCCAAACACCAUUUAAAUCAGCUCGUGGUUCCUGUCCUGUAUGUCGCCUGCACUCUAGGAUUGUCAUCUUACUCUGCCAAAAAUAAACAACAGGCCUGUCACCAUCCCCCGUAACACCUCCCACCGGCUCCAGCCGCCCCGACACAGCAGGGGCCUGGACAUCUCACAGCUGCCGACGACAGUGGCCCUGAAUUCCCCUACCACAAUGACGACCCCCAUCAACGUGGAGAGGGACGUUAACAGACUCUUCAAGAGACAGAACCCCCACAGGGCAGCCAGUUCAGACUCGUCUCUCCAACCGCCCGAAGCACUUUGCCCAUUAGCUGUCGCAGACGUCUUCAUCAUCUCACUGGAGACAUGCAAGGAACCAGCAUACUGCAAAAAACACCAUCCCCCAUAAUGCCAAGCACCACAGGAUAUAACGUCUACAGGCACGUCUCCCUGACCUGUGGUAAUUAGCCAUAUGAGCACCUUGUGUUGUCCCAACUCAUAAUCUUCCGGAUGCUCUCCUGGACCCCCUGCAGUUUGACUACAUAGCCAACAUGUAGACCGGCAGUAAGCAUGGCCCUACACUGAAUCCUCCUGCACCUGGUCUCCGCAGGAACCUACACCUGGGGCCUUUUUGUGGAUUCUAGCUUCACCACCAUCAAUCCGGCUCUGCUAUGGGAUAAGCUCUGAGCGUGCCCGACUCCACCUGCAGAUGGACCAUUGACUUCCUGUAUGACCGGAAGCCUCACGUGAAGCUGGGAAACACGUCUCUGACUCCUGGACCAUCAGCGCAGAUUCACCUCAAGGCUUUACUCUUUCCCUUCUGCUCUUCUCACUGUGUACCAACAGCUGCACCUCCAGUCACCAGUCUGUCAACCUCCUGAAGGUCGUGGCAACACCGCCCUCAUUGGCUCAUCUCUGCUGGAGAUGAGUUUGCCUGCAUUGGGAGAUUUAGCAUCCGGUUACCUGGUGUGGACUGAACAACCUGGAGCUCAACACCCUGAAGACAGUGUUGAUGGUU
ensembl:lncRNA